GUUUAGCCCGGAUAGCAGUGGAAAUCCUUUUUCUUGUAAUUCUUGCAAAGAAAGAAUUACAAGAAAAAGAUUGUAACGUAUAGCCGGAAAUAGC
rnacentral:sRNA from 1 species